rnacentral:rRNA from 1 species
AUUGAACGCUGGCGGCAUGCCUAACACAUGCAAGUCGAACGAGUGGCGGACGGGUGAGUAAUGUCUGGGAAACUGCCUGAUGGAGGGGGAUAACUACUGGAAACGGUAGCUAAUACCGCAUACCAUCGGAUGUGCCCAGAUGGGAUUAGCUAGUAGGUGGGGUAACGGCUCACCUAGGCGACGAUCCCUAGCUGGUUUGAGAGGAUGACCAGCCACACUGGAACUGAGACACGGCCCAGACUCCUACGGGAGGCAGCAGUGGGGAAUAUUGGACAAUGGGCGAAAGCCUGAUUCAGCCAUGCCGCGUGUAUGAAGAAGGCCUUCGGGUUGUAAAGUACUUUCAGCGGGGAGGCGGUACCCGCAGAAGAAGCACCGGCUAACUCCGUGCCAGCAGCCGCGGUAAUAC